rnacentral:rRNA from 1 species
CGUCUUGAAACACGGACCAAGGAGUCUAGCAUGUGCGCGAGUCAUUGGGAAUUACUAAACCUAAAGGCGCAAUGAAAGUGAAAGUCNNCCUCGCGCGGACCCAGGGAAGAUGGGCGUGUUCAGCGUUCUUCGCUGUCGCCCCGCACUCCCGGGGCGUCUCGUUCUCAUCGCGAGAAGAGGCGCACCAAGAGCGUACACGCUGGGACCCGAAAGAUGGUGAACUAUGCCUGGUCAGGACGAAGUCAGGGGAAACCCUGAUGGAGGUCCGUAGCGAUUCUGACGUGCAAAUCGAUCGUCGGAACUGGGUAUAGGGGCGAAAGACUAAUCGAACCAUCUAGUAGCUGGUUCCCUCCGAAGUUUCCCUCAGGAUAGCUGGCGCUCGUCGCCUACGAGUCUCAUCCGGUAAAGCGAAUGAUUAGAGGCAUUGGGGUCGAAACGGCCUCAACCUAUUCUCAAACUUUAAAUGGGUGAGAUCUCCGGCUUGCUCGAACUAUUGAAGCCGCGAGACACGGAUCAGAGUGCCAAGUGGGCCAUUUUUGGUAAGCAGAACUGGCGCUGUGGGAUGAACCAAACGCCGAGUUAAAGCGCCUAAAUCGACGCUUAUGGGAUACCAUGAAAGGCGUUGGUAACUUAAGACAGCAGGACGGUGGCCAUGGAAGUCGGAAUCCGCUAAG